rnacentral:lncRNA from 1 species
CAAAAACUAAGUGAAUUCUCAACACAUUCACAAUAUACGAAAGAUAGAUUAUAAACUAGAAUGACGAAGAGUUCCACAAUAAAAAUUUGAAAGAACCAGAAAACAAACAUGUUUUCGGAUGAUAUGGAAUGGACAAUAAACCUGCUAUCAACAUCCAAAACAUGGAACAAAUUUUUUUCAAAAUUUUAUUAAAAAAAAAAUUUUUACUAAAAAUUAAAUUAUCCUUAAAAACUAAUAUCCUGAAAACAAAAAAUUAUGAGUAUCCCCCAAACUAGGAGAUGAGCAUUCCUCCCCGAAAUGCAAAAAAUAAAAUAAAAUAAAUCAAAUAAAUAAAUAAAUAAAAAACGGGACACGAAGGGAAAAAAAGUGAAUAGAUGAGGACAAUACCUUUCCCCAACUAGAAUUAAAAUAUAACAAUAUCACCAUUCAAAAUUAGGAUCCAACUUAGAUCUUUUGACAAAAAUUGUAUCGACCAUACCGAUAAUCAGAUACUUGAAAUCUUUUAUUUUUGAGGACGCCUUGACUAUUGUUGUUCUACCACAAGCCCCUCUUAAAAACAGGAUGUAGUGUUGAGGUUAUUGACUAACUGAAUGAGAUAAGGGGCUCACUCAACCCCAUUAAAUUUGUUAACACAAAAAAAUCGAUUAAACCAUCCAUCAAUGGACGACUUAGUUGAACAUCAAGAACUCAAACUUGGUCCCGCAUUGUGUAAAGUCUUACGUGGUGUGACUAAAAUCUUGUGCAAGGGUUUCAGUGGUCGCUCGUUGAUGAUUCAACCUCAAAACUACAGGCUUCACUUUGUGCAUCACACACCUCACCAUUAUAUUCCUUAUAAAAAAUAUCACAUCCAUCCUUUUUCUCUCAAUCUUGAUAUCUUAACUCCCUAGACUCAUCCUCCCAAGUUUACUUUUUUGGUGCCCAAUGAUGAUAUGUUCAUGGAUUUCUUCAAUGCAUUGCAGAUUUGGAUUGGUUGGGUUGUGCGGGGAAUUGCUCUUGAGUUUGUUGUGCCAAUUUUAAAUCUCAAGUAAAAAGUUAUCUUCCAAUUGUUGUUCAAGAAGUAUGAUUGAUGCCUAAUAUUGUGACCUUUCGUGUGCAACUAAUGGAUCCUCCUCCUCCAAUGGGAGGUUGGUAUGUGUUUGUUAUGGAGUAGUGUGCAGAAUAUGGCCUUGACACAAUUGAGGCAACAGGUUCUGAGCAAGAGGAUUUAAGGAGUUUCCCCCUCAUGGCUGUGAGGUGUAUGAGUAUGAAAUGUGAUCCUAGGAUUCGAAAGCAUCCUUGUGUAGUGUUAUUAUAUUUACACACAAACUCCGAAAACUCAUGAGGCCUUAGGACAUUACAGUACAAAAUAAAAUAACUAGAAUAUAUGGGACAUGGCUCAUUGAUACAAAUUCUUGAGAUUCCUUGAGUAGCAUUGACAUCGUUUGAAAUAACUCUGGAAACUCAUGAGCCUGAGGACAUCAGUCAAAAGAUGGCUAUAACUAGCAAAUAUAAGACAUGACUCAUGUAUACUUUAUCUUUGAGAUCCUUGUGUAACAUUAAUAUAUUUUCGAUAAAAUCGGGACACUCAUUGAAUCUUAGGACAUUCAGUCAUUAUGGGCUGUGACUUGAACAUAAGGACAUGACUCAUUAUAUACAAUUUGCCAAACCACGGGGGGGGAGGUGAAUACGUGGAAGAUAUAGCAACCCACCGUAGUUAGGCUGUGGCUACUUCAAAAAUUAUUUUCAAAAGGCAUCAUCCAACUUUUUUUUUUUUUAAGGAAAACAGAAAUAAAUGAAACGAAAUUAUCCAUGGCCUAAGCGAAAAUCCCUCCGUGGGGUAAUGAUGGAGAUUCAAUUCACCAAUUGCUCUUCAACCAAGCUUCUAGUGCUCGUCUUGUGCCUUUGGUCCCCGGCACGGCGCCAAAACCUUGAUUCGCUCCCAGAAGUAUUCUUUACCGCAAGUGUACGUGGGUCGCGAAUCGUAAGAAACCGAUAAUCCGGUAUCGUUCUCUCUCAAUGGACCUAGAUAAAUAUAAGCUGUAGCACUCACUCCCACUAUCUAACUCGAUCAACUAGAAAUUAUUUAAAUUGAAUCUAAAAUAAAUAAAAAAUAAAUUUUUUUUUUGUGUGUGGUGAUUGAUUGACUAAAUCUAAUUAAGAAAGUAAUAAAAAUAAAUUUAAACUUAAUCAAAACACUCGAAAUCAAUUGAUCCCAAUUAAUUAGGUUUCUUGGAAAUUCCAAUGGAGACUUCUUAUAACUCAAUCCUUCGACUACAUCGUGGGUCUCGGAUUCGAAGAUUUAACGUUAAAAAUAAUGUUCCUUUCAAUCUCAAUUCGUGCAAUAAUAAAAUGAACCCAACUCAUGCCUACGUUAGAAGGCAGCGUAUAUCCUGAGCCAGCAAUUCAAUAUAUAAACUUACUUAGAAUAAAUCUGAUUAUUAUAAUCAAGACGUGCAUCAUCCGAUUCGCAUCAUAAAGUUGUGGUAUCGAACAUAAUAUGACUCCAAGUUUUCGAAGAUUU